CAAACAGGGCCUCAAAAGCCACCUAUUUAGCUUUUGAACAUGAUAUUGCUCAGCGGCAGAGCCAGCAGGGUGGCACGGUGGGGCUAGGACCAUCCUAAAAAUCAGGCACACAUUGUACCUGUUAGCAAAAAGGAAAAAAAGACAGAAAAAAGCCCAUCUCGGUUAAGCACUCUCCAGCCAAAAACUAACAGGUAGAAUUUCACGCCAACUCCAACUGCAUGGGCGCACGGAUGUUUUCGCGAGCCGCGAACGCAUCGUACACGCCCGGCCACCCCGACUCUUCGUCUUCCCUGCAGUCAUGCUUCCCUGUGCGUGCGAGGAGAAACAGGACGCGAGGGCGAGGAGCAGGCGUGCCGUCAUCCGUUUCCAAGGCGGCCAUGCCGUCGCCGGGCAGAGUAGGACACUAAGUUCCAAUCUUGUUCGUUCCAAGGCUUUCAAGACUAACUUAAGGUGUUGUUCGCUGGCGGAGGACGCUGCAUCAUCGCCCGAGUUGCCCAAGAGCGGUCGUCUUCUUUUCUGGGACGACGACUCCGUCUCCCUAUCAAGCACAUCAGCAGGCAGCAAGCCGUUUGUACACGCACUGUGGCCAGAAGUCAGAACAAGGUGAUUAGAAGUUCACUGUUGAUUAUUCCAAAGCAUAUCAUGGCCGUUGCCAUCCCUCCCAAAAGACCAUUAAGAUCAUUCGACAUUUUCUCAAAAGGCAUCGAUCCUCAUCAUACCCUGCCCCUGCCCCCUCUCUGAUAUCUGAUCCAUCGACGCAUCGAUCAGUCAGCCGGCCGGAGGGACCCGUAGCCCGUUCUAAUGGCGCCCUCUGCCUCUCUCUUCCUUUCCCUGCAAUAAUGACCCUGGAAUCUGAUGGCGACCACGGCGGAUGGAUCGAUUUGCAUGGUGAGCUAGCUUCCCGGAGAGACCCCCGCCCGGCACAGCGCGCGCGCGCGCGCAGCCACUAGUGCAAGGGGCGGCUGGGGAAUUGGGGAUCGUCCAUGGUGAUACUCCGUGAGUGAUCGAUGAUGGCAUGCACGGCUAGCAUAUUACCCUUUAUUGUGUGCGGAAUCUCACAUGUGUUCUCUUGCUCCAUGGAUGGCACCUGGGCGGCAGAGAUUGGUUUUUAGUAUUUUUAGGUGAACUGGUUGAGUUGAUUCGAUGUGGGUGAAAGUGGAACGAGGGUUGUCUACUUGACAAGAUUAUUCUUGUAUUCCAGUAUGUCGUGGAGUUGUUUCUUUUGACCUAUUUUUUCCGAGGAAAGAAAAUGAAGGAAUUGGACGCUCCCGUUAUAUAUACGGUCUUCUUUCCGAGGAAAGAAAACAAAGGAAUUGGACGCUCCCGUUAUUUAUACGGUC